UUUCCUCCAUGGAGCUGAACUCGACGCCCAAUUCGAUCAGCUUCUUCGCAGCCUUCGGGGCUCUUCGUAACCCCGGUUGUGUAUCCUUCGGAAAACUACAUAAGUAAACAUCAGAAAAAUCCAUAUCAGAAGGCGACAUACCACAAGUAUGCUACAUUCCCCAGGUUUUUAGCGAGUUCUAAGUAGAUUCAAUUGCAUGUUGUUAAUAUCAUACAGGGUCAAUUAAUCAUCUAGUCCUUAAAGUUUGACUCAUGGCGAUUUCGUCCUCAUGACGUCGAUUUCGACAAUUUAGUCCUCGAUAUAUGCUCCACAUAACGAUUAAGUUCUGCUGAAAAGACGCCAUGUAGGAUUCAAACUUCAGGGACUAAUAUUGUCAAAAACUCAAAACUCUCCGAGAGAUUCUAACCAAGGCCACAUUUUUGGAAAGCAAAAUUGUAACUAGCCCAGUAUCUACUAUUAGCCUACUGGUGCUUGCAAUUUCCGAGAGCACCAGCUUUAUUCAUACCUGGGCACUUUGUAUUCAGGGUAAAGCUCUGCAACUUUGGAUGCAAAAUCGCUCCAAUGAGAAAUGGAUUCCACACAUAAGUGCCUUCCAGAUGCUGCCGGGUUUUCGAAUAGCAUGAUAUGGGAGAGUGCGACAUCUUUGACGUGGACUGGUCCCAUGUAAAAAUCUGGAUACUCUUCAGUGCAGCCUGCAACCAUGUCAGCUUCUAGUGUAAGAUCAAUUAUUUUCUAAAUUUUUUUUGGUUGCUAUUUUUUUUUUUUAGUAUAAAAGUGUUUUGCGAGCCCAUCACAGUAGUACAUUACCCAUCAAAGUAAUACAAAUGUACUACUUGGGUUAACAGUAAUAGCUUUUAGCACGUCAAAAGCAAUAGCUUCAGCAUAGCAUCAUUCUUACAAUGAAGGAUCUUGUAUAUCCAUGGUCUGCAGACAAUACAGCAGCAUCUUGGUUUCAAACACAAAGGCCCGGUACUUGUUCUGCCCACUUCUAGAAGGUCAACAUUCCCCUAUGAACGAAAUCCUUAUGUCCAUGUGUUGAUCUAUGGGCAAUAUUGGUCAAUCUUAAAAGUAUCCAUAAGGCAGUCGGUCAAAGCACGGCGAACAUCAUAGCCCCUUUUGCCAAAAAGUGUUAUUGGAGCGCCGUAAAUGUGUCAAGGCUACUUUCAGAAAUUACAUAUAGAUAUCUUUAUACUGAGGCCAACUAGCAUCAAUAUCCAACAUGCAUAAGAUGCGGACAGGAUGUAGAUUAAAGUUUCUAUGCUUCAGAUGAAGAUUUCAGAAAAACAAAUGGCAAAAGUGCAGGCAAAUCUAUUGUCUAAAUAGCAUUAGAUCUAUUCCUGGUAUACCACUGGGAUACUUUCGGCUACUACCGUCUUAACCCAUCUGGUAGAAAUUUGCCACCUUGUCAGUUCCUUGAAGAUUUCCCUAGUGGAUUCUCAUCCGAACUAGAAUUUUGAUAGUUAUAAAGUAAAUGCCUUCACCUAUAAGCUGCAAAGCUUUUAUGUAGACUAAGCAGUUUUUGCAAAGCUCCACAAACAAUGUCUAGAAGAAUGAUAAGGGUUCUCCGCCUCAUAGAAAACUAGACAAGAAAGCAACAAUAAAAAUGAGGGGUCUAUACAAUUAGUAAGCAACAGCACAGGAUUACAAGCAUCUCGUCUAACCUAAGGUGAGGGCACCUGAUGAACAAAUGGGAGCGAGCUGCCAUAACAGCAUAUACUUUUUCUAACAAUAAAAAUUAGACCACACUAACUAUAAACAGCUCACUUUUUAUCCAUGUGUCAGGAGCACAAUUUACUUCUCGUUGGGCCUUCCAUUCUUAGCGUGUUCAAUCUAAACGCCAACAAGCUUAUGAGACAUUUCGACAUUCUUUUGAGUGCCUUUGGGUGGCCUUGUGAUGUCCCAACAACCUUUCAGAAGCUAAAAUGAGAACAUAUAUAGACAAUAAAUACAAGAAAAUUAGCAGUAGAAAUUCAGUAGAUUAUACAAAACACACCUUCAAGCAGACGGACAAUCAUCGCCAUACUAGCAUUGAUUUUAGGGGGAAUUAUCGGACCCAGGACCGUGCCCGGAUUGAUCACAACCACAUCCAAUCCAUUCUCCUUGGCGAACUCCCAUGCUGCUUUCUCUGCCAAUGUCUUGGAAGCUGGAUACCAAAGCUAACAAAACACAUGACCAAACCGUUCAGAUAAUUUCCCUACCUUCAAAUAACAAGAGAAAAUGGAGCUUCCUGAUGUACCUCAUUCUUCUUGCAGUACUCGACGUCGGUCCAACAGCUCUCAUCUUUCACCACGUCGGCCGGCCAAUCAUGGCUGGGCACG
rnacentral:lncRNA from 1 species